rnacentral:rRNA from 1 species
GACGAACGCUGGCGGCGUGCUUAACACAUGCAAGUCGAACGGAAAGGCCCUGCUUUUGUGGGGUGCUCGAGUGGCGAACGGGUGAGUAACACGUGAGUAACCUGCCCUUGACUUUGGGAUAACUUCAGGAAACUGGGGCUAAUACCGGAUAGGAGCUCCUGCUGCAUGGUGGGGGUUGGAAAGUUUCGGCGGUUGGGGAUGGACUCGCGGCUUAUCAGCUUGUUGGUGGGGUAGUGGCUUACCAAGGCUUUGACGGGUAGCCGGCCUGAGAGGGUGACCGGCCACAUUGGGGCUGGGAUACGGCCCAGAAUCCUACGGGAGGCAGCAGUGGGGAAUAUUGCACAAUGGGCGGAAGCCUGAUGCAGCAACGCCGCGUGCGGGAUGACGGCCUUCGGGUUGUAAACCGCUUUCGCCUGUGACGAAGCGUGAGUGACGGUAAUGGGUAAAGAAGCACCGGCUAACUACGUG